rnacentral:rRNA from 1 species
ACUACGGGGGGCAGCAGUAGGGAAUCUUCCACAAUGGACGCAAGUCUGAUGGAGCAACGCCGCGUGAGUGAAGAAGGUCUUCGGAUCGUAAAGCUCUGUUGUUGGUGAAGAAGGAUAGAGGUAGUAACUGGCCUUUAUUUGACGGUAAUCAACCAGAAAGUCACGGCUAACUACGUGCCAGCAGCCGCGGUAAUACGUAGGUGGCAAGCGUUGUCCGGAUUUAUUGGGCGUAAAGCGAGCGCAGGCGGAAAAAUAAGUCUGAUGUGAAAGCCCUCGGCUUAACCGAGGAACUGCAUCGGAAACUGUUUUUCUUGAGUGCAGAAGAGGAGAGUGGAACGCCAUGUGUGGCGGUGGAAUGCGUAGAUAUAUGGAAGAACACCAGUGGCGAAGGCGGCUCUCUGGUCUGCAACUGACGCUGAGGCUCGAAAGCAUGGGUAGCGAACAGGAUUAGAUACCCCAGUAGUC